CCCUCGCCUCCUGCUUAAUUUCUGGAGAAGCCAAUUGGCUUAACCCCCCCCCCGAUUGACCGUAGCUUUUCCCCAGAGAAGGAGCCGCGCGCGUUAUCUGCCUUCCCCAGUUGGAGUUUGCGGCGUGAGAAAGCGGGGCUGGCGAGCACCUGCCUCUUAGUCAUCCCUGGGCUUGAGGAUGUCCCCAGAUUACAUCUUCUCAGCUGUUUGCAAAACAGCGCUGGGAGGAGCGCGAGCCCCGAAUUACACACAGCCGCGGCUGUCCCUUUAAAUGCUGGGGUCUGCGCGCCGGAGAGGGGAGGGGCCGGCUCCGGAGUGCGUGAAAUUCCUGGGCUCCUCCGACAGUCUCAGGCAGAGCGCUCCGCUCUACGCAUCUCUCCUCGCACGCAACUCGCGGAGAGAGGGGCUGAGGCGCGCCAAAGCUUUCCCUCGCUCCUCGCUGCCUGCAUCGCGCGUUCCCUCAGCCUGCUUCGCAGCCCGCGUUUUUGCGCCUCCGACAACGCCCUCCCGGUCCCGCCUCGCGCUUCCCCUCCCACCACACUCUCUUGCUGAGAGAGAGAGAGAGAGAGAGGCAAGAGACACCCCUGGAUUUCUUAGCGGCCCCCCAAAGAAGGAAACAAACAAAGAGUUGGUUAAACAACCCCACUCGCUUCUCAACUACCAAGGCCAGCUGAACCCAAAAUGGGGAAUUCCAGGGGAUGAGCUGGCCUGGAAUCUGCUGGAUCGCAACCUGAUCCUGCUGCCACCGGAGGCACUGGACUUGAAUCCAGUCUAAUUGCUGCACCUGCCUGGAGCUAUUUCAGGGAUCAGGGCCUGAUUGCCAAGAAGUGAAGAAUUAGGGGCUGGAUCAUCUUCGGUACACAAUGAAGAUUGACUUUGGCUUUUCUGUCCAAGGCGUCCCAUGUUUGAUGAGUUCACUAUCUGCCAUGCUUUGCUGCCAUCCCCAUUGCUUCUAAGAAACCACAGUUUGGAGACAGGCCAUUGACUCUCCCUCCAUCCUUCACUGAAGACAGCUGGGGUCAGCAACGCAAGGCCACAGCAGGAAACCUCAACCUUUGAAAACAAAACCCACCCGCCUUCUGAAUCCCUCGCACCAUUUCCUCUCCUUCUAGGAUAAAGGCCUCUGGAUCCUAAGGGAUAGCUGAGAUCUUUCCUUGGCAAGGAGAACUUGCCUCUCCAGUCAAGUCUUUCCUCUCUUGUGGAGUUAAACGGCUGUAGUGCCUAUUACCAGAGCCAUCCUCUCUGGUGUGAGUGGCUUUAAUUUUGUUUUUCUCGUAAGGGAGAAGA
rnacentral:lncRNA from 1 species